GCCUACGGCCAUACCACCCUGAAAGCGCCCGAUCUCGUCUGAUCUCGGAAGCUAAGCAGGGACGGGCUUGGUUAGUACCUGGAUGGGAGACCGCCUGGGAAUACCAGGUGUUGUAGGCC
rnacentral:rRNA from 1 species